AAUCACAAAUUUCACAUAAGACUCAUGUUAUGAUAUGCACUUAUUGACACAUAAAUGCAUGUGGUACCAAAUCUCAACAAGGUCGUCACCUUUCGAUGCCACUUGCACAUCGUAUGUAAGGCUCACCUCUGCCUUACAAUAAUCUCGAAGUAAAAGAGCUCAACCCUUUUACAGCAACAUCGACUAUGAUGCAUGGACAUGUAUAAAGACUCGAUAAUGCGACAACAAUCCACAAUUUUCUCCACAAUAUAUAGGACAACACCCAAUUAUAUUGUUCAUCUCCACAUCAUUUGCAUUAUCAAGAAAACAUGCCCAUACACAAAUAAAUCAUAGUAUUCACCAUCACACAUCAACAUGAUUAUCAAUAAUCAACAAUGUCCUUUAACAUCAACUAUCACAUAUAGUUUCACC
rnacentral:lncRNA from 1 species